GCCUGUGAAAUGAACCUCAGUUCACCCCUGACCUCUCCUCACGCCCACCAACCCAAGCCCCAAUGUAGACGAACAGGAGUUACUUAAAGGAGGUACAGCCCCUUUAAAAAAGGAUACAACCUCUUACAGCGGAUAACCCACCCCAUAAACCCAACUGUAGGCCUUCAAGCAGCCACCAACAAAGAGUGCGUCAAAGCUCCUCAAUAAAAAACACUCAAACCACGCGAAUCCCUCCUCACUAACAGGCCAACCUAUCCCCAUAGGAGAAUUAAUGCUGAAAUAAGUAACUGGGGCCCUCCCCCUCUCAAGCGCAAACUUACAUCCUCCAUUAUUAUCCAAAACACGAUACCCACACCUCAACAAGCACGCUCUAUCAACGAACCCUGUUACACCAACCCAGGUGCGCAACAAUAGAAAGACCCAAAUCUGUAGAAGGAACUAGGCAAACCCAAGGCCCGACUGUUUACCAAAAACAUAGCCUUCAGCACACCAAGUAUUGAAGGUGAUGCCUGCCCAGUGACCUCACCACGUUCAACGGCCGCGGUAUCCUA
rnacentral:rRNA from 1 species